rnacentral:rRNA from 1 species
GAUGAACGCUGGCGGCGUGCCUAAUACAUGCAAGUCGAACGGUAACAGGGAGCUUGCUCCGCUGACGAGUGGCGAACGGGUGAGUAAUGUAUCGGAACGUACCUUUCAGUGGGGGAUAACGUAGCGAAAGUUACGCUAAUACCGCAUAUUCUGUGAGCAGGAAAGCAGGGGAUCGCAAGACCUUGCGCUGAUUGAGCGGCCGAUAUCAGAUUAGCUAGUUGGUGGGGUAAAAGCUCACCAAGGCGACGAUCUGUAGCGGGUCUGAGAGGAUGAUCCGCCACACUGGAACUGAGACACGGUCCAGACUCCUACGGGUGGCUG